AAUUAAAGGAGUGUUAUAAGGGAUUUACUUGUCUAUGUACCCUUCCAUUUGAUCUCUUAGGUCCUGCGGUACCUCGACGAUUAUACCACGAUGCCCUUAACUUAAAGCCUAAGCCUAUAUGAGAUGUAUAGACUCCUGCAACCAUGACAUAGACUCCUGCAACCAUGACAUAUUUGUUUCCUUGAACAUAAUUUCAUUUCUUUCUAAAAGAACUAAAAGACAUGAGAACGGUUAAUUCUAUAAAAAAAAAGAAGUCUUUUUUUCAUGAGGUACAACUCAAAAUUCCUAGUUAUUUAUUUUUACUGACUCGACCAUAGACCAAUUCCCUUUUUAUUUGGGAGUAUUGACUACGCCCAUAAUUCUGAGCUUCAUGUUACUCUUCCCAAGAGACAUG
rnacentral:lncRNA from 1 species